AGUGAACACAUCCAUCCUCGCAUUAGCGGGAUGGCCUGAUGCAACCUGAGCGAGCCCCAUCGGCCGUCACCCAACCCGCCUCUUCAAACCCCGCCGCUCUCGGCCGCUGCGUCGCGCUGCUGCAGACAUGCAAGUCCCUGCCUUGGCUCAAGCAGAUCCACGCUCACGCCGUCCGCCGUGGCGUCCCUCUCGGCCACCCCGGCCUGGCCAAGCACCUCGUCUUCGCCCUCGUUUCCCUCCCCGCCGCCGACCCCAUGCCCUACGCCAGCGCCGUCUUCGCCCAGGUCCCCAACCCCGGGGUCUUCAGUUACAACACCAUGAUCCGCGGCUACGCCGAGAGCUGUCACCCCCGCCACGCCCUCGACGUCCACCGCCUCAUGCUCGCCGCCGACGUCCCCCCGGACUCCCACACCUACCCCUUCCUCCUCAAGGCCUGCGCCAAACUGCUGUCUCUCUGCGACGGCGAGAGGGUCCACUGCCGCUCCGUCAAGGACGGCCAUGACGCCUGCGUCUUCGUCCAGAACACACUUGUUCAUUUCUACGCGGCCUGCGGACUCUUCGAGAGCGCACACAAGUUGUUCGAGAGGAUGUCCCAAAAAAACCUCAUUUCGUGGAACUCUGUCAUUAAUGGCUUCGCCAUAAACGGGAGGCCUAAUGAGGCGCUGACCCUCUUCAGGGAGAUGGUCGCGGACGCGGAUGGCGGCAUCGAGCCUGAUGGUUUCACCAUGGUCAGCUUGCUCUGCGCCUGUGCCGAGCUGGGGGCCUUGGCUCUCGGCCGCAGAUCCCAUGUUUACCUUGCUAAGCGAGGCCUGGAAAGGAACGCCCACGUUGGGAAUGCGCUCAUAGAUUUCUAUGCCAAGUGUGGAAGCAUCGAGGAGGCUUACAAGGUAUUCGACGAGAUGGAUGAGAGGACUGUGGUAUCGUGGACUUGUUUGAUAGUAGGGUUGGCCAUGAACGGGUUUGGCGAAGAAUCUCUCGACCUCUUCCAUGCAAUGGAGAGGGAAAGAUUGGUGCCGACUGAGAUCACCUUGGUUGGGGUGUUGUACGCUUGUAGCCAUUGCGGGUUGGUUGACGAUGGAUUCAGGUACUUCAACAGGUUGACACGAGACUAUGGCAUCGUGCCCAAGAUAGAGCACUAUGGUUGCAUGGUUGAUCUCCUGGGACGAGCUGGCUUGGUGGAAGAGGCACACAGUUACAUCAUGAACAUGCCACUGGAGCCCAAUGCUGUCAUCUGGAGGACCUUGCUUGGAGCAUGCACCAUGCACAAGAGGCUGGAAAUUGGGGAAGCAGUUUGGGCUAGGCUCGUGGAAUUGGACCCUGGCCAUAGCGGCGACUACGUGCUCCUAUCCAAUAUGUAUGCUGCUGUCGGUCAGUGGGGGAUUGUUCACAAGCUCCGGAGGAGCAUGCUGAAGGGAGGGGUGAGAAAGAUGCCUGGCCACAGCCUCGUCGAACUGGGCAACCACAUGCAUGAGUUCAUCAUGGGUGAUCGCUCACAUCCUCAGAGCCAGCAAAUAUAUGAGAUGCUCGAAGAGAUUGCAGCGAGGCUGAGGCUGGAAGGCUACAUGCCUCACACAACGAAUGUUUUGGCUGAUAUAGAGGAGGAAGAGAAGGAGACGGCACUGAACUACCACAGCGAGAGGUUGGCCAUAGCCUUUGCUCUCCUUAACACUGCCCCAGGGACCCCCAUCAGGAUAGUGAAGAACCUGAGGGUAUGUGCAGAUUGCCACAUUGUGACCAAACUGAUAUCCAAGAUUUAUGACCGGGAGAUUGUGGUGAGAGAUCGGAGUCGAUUCCACCAUGUAAGAGGUGGAUCCUGUUCUUGUAAGGAUUAUUGGUAGGCUACAGUAGUGUUCUCCCAGCAAGAUUAUACUGCAUUCGGAAUCAAGAUUUUAAAAUAAUGAUGACCCUUGGAACUCUUGCUUGGUUCACUAUAAACAUCAAAAGCUGUUUGGUCAUUGUUGGCAUUGUCAUUGCAUUGAACAAUUCUUGAUUUAUAUGCUCCCAGAAGUGCAAGUGGAGUGUUGGAGAGAUGGAGCUUGAGUGGAUCCUUCCGAUGCUGCUCGGACUUGGUAAAUGACAGCAGAUGCUUGUCUGGAAGUUGAAUGAGCAAGCACAUUGGCUAGAUUGUAUCUGGAUUCCUUUGUCCAAUUCAGAUGAGAGAAUUCUUGUUGGAAGAUCCAAAUUGACUGUCAUGCUGACGUCCAAGAGUCGAUGCUGCAUCACCAAUUACAGUCAAGGUAGUUAAGAAGCCAGUUGGCCAGUUGUAUAUGUGAUAAAAAAAAGGGUAUACCUAGUGCAGGUCGCCAAUCCAGUAUCUUUAGAGGUUUAAUAUAUGCAGCCUUGCUUCUGGAAAUAAUUUGUCAUGCUGAUUCUUGAUUACUUCUGGAAAUGGUCCCGGUACAACAAAAAGAUAAAUGCUGGGAGACUUAGCAGGAUCUGAGUGGUUAAGCUUUGUUCCUCCUCAAUUAUUAUGAUGUGUGAUAAUUUUAAACAUCAACCACUUCACUGUUGGAGUAACAGGUGCAGUGUUCCUUUCACUCCAUGAAUGCAUUGUUUGUUGAUCCUGUUCCUCUCUCUAGCUUUAAAGUUGAGACUUGGGCAGGUUGCAAUGGUCGAAACACCAGAACAAGACUGUGUUACCUUAGCUUUUCCAAUUGUAGAUUCAUCUCUUUCUUUAUCGAUCUGUAGUGUUUUUUUUAUACAUACAAUAACAAAAAGAAUAGCAUUAAAUUUUGUG